GACGUAGGGCGCGAGCGUUGUCCGGAUUUAUUGGGCGUAAAGAGCUCGUAGGCGGCUUGUUGCGUCGACUGUGAAAACCCGUGGCUCAACCACGGGCCUGCAUCCGAUACUGGCGGGCUCGAGGCAGGCAGGGGAGAUCGGAAUUCCUGGUGUAGCGGUGAAAUGCGCAGAUAUCAGGAGGAACACCGGUGGCGAAGGCGGAUCUCUGGGCCUGUCCUGACGCUCAGGCGCGAAAGCUAGGGGAGCAAACAGG
rnacentral:rRNA from 1 species